GAUGAACGCUGGCGGCGUGCCUAAUACAUGCAAGUCGAGCGAAUGGAUUAAGAGCUUGCUCUUAUGAAGUUAGCGGCGGACGGGUGAGUAACACGUGGGUAACUUGCCCAUAAGACUGGGAUAACUCCGGGAAACCGGGGCUAAUACCGGAUAACAUUUUGAACCGCAUGGUUCGAAAUUGAAAGGCGGCUUCGGCUGUCACUUAUGGAUGGACCCGCGUCGCAUUAGCUAGUUGGUGAGGGAACGGCUCACCAAGGCAACGAUGCGUAGCCGACCUGAGAGGGUGAUCGGCCACACUGGGACUGAGAUACGGCCCAGACUCCUACGGGAGGCAGCAGUAGGGAAUCUUCCGCAAUGGACGAAAGUCUGACGGAGCAACGCCGCGUGAGUGAUGAAGGCUUUCGGGUCGUAAAACUCUGUUGUUAGGGAAGAACAAGUGCUAGUUGAAUAAGCUGGCACCUUGACGGUACCUAACCAGAAAGCCACGGCUAACUACGUGCCAGCCGCCGCGGUAA
rnacentral:rRNA from 1 species